GAUGAACGCUGGCGGCGUGCUUAACACAUGCAAGUCGAACGGUGAAGGCGGAGCUUGCUCUGCUGGAUCAGUGGCGAACGGGUGAGUAACACGUGAGCAAUCUGCCCCUGACUCUGGGAUAAGCGCUGGAAACGGCGUCUAAUACUGGAUACGAGCUGCGAAGGCAUCUUCAGCAGCUGGAAAGAACUUCGGUCAGGGAUGAGCUCGCGGCCUAUCAGCUUGUUGGUGAGGUAACGGCUCACCAAGGCGUCGACGGGUAGCCGGCCUGAGAGGGGGACCGGCCACACUGGGACUGAGACACGGCCCAGACUCCUACGGGAGGCAGCAGUGGGGAAUAUUGCACAAUGGGCGAAAGCCUGAUGCAGCAACGCCGCGUGAGGGACGACGGCCUUCGGGUUGUAAACCUCUUUUAGCAGGGAAGAAGCGAAAGUGACGGUACCUGCAGAAAAAGCGCCGGCUAACUACGUG
rnacentral:rRNA from 1 species